AACUUCCGGGUACAUCAACAUCUCAGAUUGCGCUGUGUAGAGAGUGGUAUACAUAGAUAUAGCGUUAUCAAUCGAGUAUGUGGAGGUUUUAACGAGAUAAACAUGGGAAUUGAAGCAUUAGUGGAGUGGUCGAGGAUUCUUCGCUUCGUGUUUGACGAAUUACGUGUAAUAACUGCCAGUGUACAAGCAUCGACGAGGAUAUGCCUUGAAUCUGAGGAUAAAGGUGUUGUGUAUUAUGCAGUCAUCAUUAAUGUGGAUGUCUGAUGCCAGUAUGCCCAUAGUGGGGCAGUAUAAGUGUCGAUCUUCAUAUGGCAGCAAAUUUUCAAAGGCAGAUAUAAGAAGGCAAAUAUAACUGUUCAAUGUAAAAUACUCCAGUAGUUGGAUAAAACAUCCAAAGUCGGCACAGUCAAAGGUCACAACAACAAUGGAGGAAUUAACUGCAUCCUCAUUCCGAAGGGCAGUAGGCCAUUUUCAGCAACCCCUGAAAUUCUUAAUUGAGGCUAAGUGCCCAUUUUCAGCUCGAACAAUGACAAUUAAAGAGGCCUGUGCAAAUGUUGGGAUUUCCCUCUUGAAUGUGAUGUAAGAGAUGGUUCGCUGCCCAUUAAAAUGCUCUCUCUCUCUCUCUCUCUCUCUCUCUCUCUCUCUCUCUCUCUCUCUCGGGUUUCUGUGGACGUAGUGUUUGUGUAACGAUGGCAUCCCAAACAGAAGCUGACACGAAGUAUACACCCCCUCCUCUCUCUCUCUUUAGGGUUUCUGUGGACGUAGUGUUUGUGUAACGAUGGUAUCCCAAACAAAAGCUGACACAUAGCUAGUCUACCCCCCCUUUCUCUCUCUCUCCCUUACUCUCAAUCAUUGACUAAAUGAGUAAUUAUUGUCAUACGUAUGCAACACUAUUGCCAUGCCAUAUUAUUUCAUCUAUAUUAUUGCUACAGUUUUACACAUCUCUCUCUCUCUCUCUCUCUCUUUAUAAACAUAAAACGGUGAUAAAUUAUAAAUAGCUCAACAACUCUCUCUCUCUCUCUUUAUCUUUAUAAAUAUAAAACGGUGAUAAAUUAUAAAUAUAACUCUCUCUCUCUCUAUAAAUAUAAAGCCGUGAUAAAUUAUAAAUAGAAAUAUCUCAGUAACUCUCUCUCACACACACACACACACACACACACACACACACACACACACACUCUCUCUCUCUCUCUCUCUCUCUCUCUCUCUCUCUCUCCGGUCCUACUAAACAGAGUACGAUAGAGUACUUUAGAGUACGCUAGUAAAAUUUCAUAAUUUAAUGCAAUUUAACUGCUGUUCGUAGAUGUUCUUACUUUAGUUUAACCUAAUAAAUGUAUAUCUGAAAUAUAUUGUAUUUGUUUUCAUUAUUUUAGGAAUUAUUGUAAGUUAAAGUUUACCGUUUGAUUCCGAUCCCGAUCAAAUUUAAUACUUUUUCAAAACAAACUACUAAUAAUCGGGAUCGGGAUGUCGUAAAUCUUCAAUACAUUUAAUGUUUUCUGGUCAAAAUAUCGCUAAAAUACCAAAUACUUUUGACAAAUAUUGCACUUUUAUUUUAUAAUCAUCUUUAUUUAAGUGGUAUACAUACAAAUAAACAAUUGAAUUGCAUUAAAUAUUGAAAUUUUACUAGCGUACUCUAAAGUACUCUAUCGUACUCUAACGUACUCUGUUUAGUAGUACCCCCCCCCCCCCCUCUCUCUCUCUCUCUCUCAAUAUAAAGCCGUGAUAAAUUAUAAAUAGAAAUAUCUCAAUAACUUAUUUAUGCUUUUUUACUGUUGUUUGAUUUCUGAUUGUGUAAUUUAUAAUCCAUGUGGUAUCUCAAACAGAAGCAUUUUUUAAACUACUGUAACAGUUUUACGUAUGGGCAAUAUAACCAUUAUACAUGUUGAUGUGCUGCGCCAAUAAAGAAUUGUUCAUGUUUUUAUAAAUAUAAAGCCACAAUAAAUCAUUAAUAGAAAAUAUUCCAAUAACUUAUGUUUGUUUGUUGUUUUUUUUAAAUUUAUUAUUAUUGUUUGAUUUCUGAUUGUUUAAUAUAUAAUACAUGUAUAAAGAUGGAGAGAGAAAAUACGAUGAUAAAUUGCAUGGUAAAGGGGACGUUAGAAAUUAAAAUAUUCUAGGUGCGAGUCAAUGCUAUCAAAACUCAGGUAUACUGGGGCUUUCCUCGAGAUCUGAAGACUGCCGGUCAUCAUUAGCCAUGAUUGUUAUCAAAACAUCUUUCUCAGGUAGCUGUAGACCACGGUCUCUGCAAACGUCAAUCAAUCUAAGCUCUAUUGUUAAAAGUUUGAUUGACCAGCGGCUUAUCAUUGAUCGCGACACAGGUAAAAUUUGGGGGCGUUAACUUAAAGUUGGGUCUUUAAACGGACAAAAUCGCCUAUAGAAACAUGUACUGAAAUUUCUGAUCACUUAAAACUGACAAGUAUCUACAGGAAUUUAAGGGAGUAACCUUUCAAUUUUUAUUGGGAUAUAGAGGCAACUGCGGAUCCUGCCUUUUCCCGCAGCAUUUUCGAUUCCGUCAUUUUUUUUUUUCCUUUUCAAUAUUCAACACUAUUUGAAUUCUGGGAUAUUGCUAUCCUGCCUUUUCUUUACAUAUCGGAGCUCGCCUUUUUCACCCUGUAUUCCCCCUCCCAUACCUAUUGAUACUGCGAUGGAUUAUAAGUAUAGCACGGUUAUUCCUGUUUAAAAGAUCAAAUUUAUAAGGUAUCUGAUAAAAGUUAUAUCUUCUAAAGUUUACGAGAUAUCUUGUAACUUUUAUAAGACAUCUUAUAUUUUUUUCUUUAUAAGAUAUCCCAUUACUUUUUUAUGCAUGUAGAUAUCUAGUAUAUAUAAGAUAAACUUUACAAGACAUUUUAUUAACGUAAUCUCAAAUCUCCGUUGUCAAAUCAAAACCGAUAUUGAAUUUCACGCUACGUACGGUGCAACUUACACUGAAAUCAAAUAGUGAAACUUACACUUGUUAGUCACGAGAUAACAUAAUGCCAAAUACUUGGGAACGCCUACCUAUAAUUUAACCGACCAAUCAAAAGCGCUCUUUAAAAUCACUCGGGGACUUUCCAUUGAACUAUCUGGAGCACGUCAUGUACUUGCCGAUAUGUCUCGUUCACACUUGCUGUAAACUAAGAUAUUCUUAUAAAAAAAUGGAAUUAUUUAGGAAUUAUCAAUUAAGCUAGACUA